rnacentral:rRNA from 1 species
GUGGGGUAAUUUUCCGCAAUGGGCGAAAGCCUGACGGAGCAAUGCCGCGUGGAGGUGGAAGGCCUACGGGUCGUCAACUUCUUUUCUCGGAGAAGAAACAAUGACGGUAUCUGAGGAAUAAGCAUCGGCUAACUCUGUGCCAA